rnacentral:lncRNA from 1 species
UGGGACAAAAACCUAGUCGAAGGGAAAUAGUACAUUAUGCAUAUGUCCGAUGUAGUACAUUGUGCAAUUGUCAAUAUUGGAGCGGUAAUACAAUACAUUUCUAUUGUAAAACGAAAUUAACUAAUAAUUCAACAUAAAUAAAAUGAAAUAUAAUAGAAUAAAAAAAAUGAAUUGGUAUAAACGAGGAAAUAACAAACUGCAAAUAGAACAUUGAUCUUCAAGUAAAACAUACCUAAGAACAAUGUAAAGCAAGCCAAGGUGCCAGGGAUCAAAGAUUCAUAAAGAAAAGAUACAAACCACUACUGAAAAAAAAACUCACUUGGAGGGAAUCGACUUGAGUGAGGAGCGAAGUGAGUUGUUGCUACUCGCUUGGAUAGGAAGGAAUCAUAUGUAUGAGUAUUAAUUUAUAUAUGAAGUAUAAUUGGUUAGGGUUAGAGUUAUGCUUAUUUCAAUGGUCCAGCUAGAGGUUUUGUUUUGUUUUUUUUCCUUAAAGUGCAGAUUUUUUGGGUCUAAAAGUCCAAAGGUUUUAGUCGACCAUUUAAAAAAAGAUGUAAAAAGAAGCGGUAAUCGC